rnacentral:rRNA from 1 species
GAUCCUGGCUCAGGAUGAACGCUAGCUACAGGCUUAACACAUGCAAGUCGAGGGGAAACGACAUCGAAAGCUUGCUUUUGAUGGGCGUCGACCGGCGCACGGGUGAGUAACGCGUAUCCAACCUGCCCAUCACUUGGGAAUAACCUUGCGAAAGUAAGACUAAUACCCAAUGAUAUCCCACGAAGGCAUCCGAAUGGGAUUAAAAGAAUUUAUCGGUGAUGGAUGGGGAGUGCGUCUGAUUAG